GCGCCCGUAGCUCAGUUGGCAGAGUAGUGGGACAGUACCCCACGGUCCCGGGGUCAAGUCCCAGCGGUCGCU